GCAGCCUGCAACUCGGCUGCAUGAAGCUGGAAUCGCUAGUAAUCGCGGAUCAGAACGCCGCGGUGAAUACGUUCCCGGGUCCUGUACACACCGCCCGUCACAUCAUGGGAGCCGGAAACGCCCGAAGCCAGCGGCCCAACCGCAAGGGGGGAGCUGUCGAAGGCGGGGCCGGUGACCGGGGUGAAGUCGUAACAAGGUACC
rnacentral:rRNA from 1 species